UACGGAGGGUGCAAGCGUUAAUCGGAAUUACUGGGCGUAAAGCGCGCGUAGGCGGUUUUUUAAGUCGGAUGUGAAAGCCCCGGGCUCAACCUGGGAACUGCAUCCGAUACUGGAAGACUAGAAUGCGGGAGAGGGAGGUAGAAUUCCAUGUGUAGCGGUGAAAUGCGUAGAUAUAUGGAGGAAUACCAGUGGCGAAGGCGGCCUCCUGGCUCGACAUUGACGCUGAGGUGCGAAAGCGUGGGGAGCAAACGGG
rnacentral:rRNA from 1 species